rnacentral:rRNA from 1 species
UACGUAGGGUGCAAGCGUUGUCCGGAAUUAUUGGGCGUAAAGAGCUCGUAGGCGGUCUGUCGCGUCUGCUGUGAAAACCCGGGGCUCAACCCCGGGCUUGCAGUGGAUACGGGCAGACUAGAGUUCGGUAGGGGAGACUGGAAUUCCUGGUGUAGCGGUGAAAUGCGCAGAUAUCUGGAGGAACACCGGUGGCGAAGGCGGCAUCCUGGACCAACAUUGACGCUGAGGAGCGAAAGCGUGGGGAGCGAACAGG